AGACACUGAAAUUAAUUGAGGAG
rnacentral:misc_RNA from 1 species